CAGUAGCCGCGGGAAUACGUAGGGUGCGAGCGUUAAUCGGAAUUACUGGGCGUAAAGCGUGCGCAGGCGGUUCGUUAAGACAGAUGUGAAAUCCCCGGGCUUAACCUGGGAACUGCAUUUGUGACUGGCGAGCUAGAGUAUGGCAGAGGGGGGUAGAAUUCCACGUGUAGCAGUGAAAUGCGUAGAGAUGUGGAGGAAUACCGAUGGCGAAGGCAGCCCCCUGGGCCAAUACUGACGCUCAUGCACGAAAGCGUGGGGAGCAAACAGGAUUAGAUACACCAGUAGUCCCUGUCUCUUAUAC
rnacentral:rRNA from 1 species